GGACUACAGCUUGGAGCUUCACUUGGAGCAGACUGAGCCACACUUGCCACUCUCCUGUGAGGAACAACAGAUGACCAAAGCUCAGUAGUUCUUCAGUGUAGAAACCUGUGACAGACUAGGCUUACCGCCUUUCUUUUCUAUAUUAUAUGUGGUUACCCAGGUACCUGUCAUUGGAAAUGUUUCCAGGAGGAAACAAUAAUUUCCUCCCCUUAGUGCACUAUUCUUAGUGCACUAGUGGACUAUUCUUCCACUUUUGAGUUGAGACCUGGAAAAUCGAGCUGACACUCAUUAUCAACAACCCUAAUCUAUAAAUAAAGCACAGGUAUGAACAUAUAACUGCAUACAUGACUAAAAUAGUAACAAUACCAUCUACUACUGUGUAAUCUAUGCUGAUGUUUAUAUGCAUCAUCUUUUGUUUUGAGACAGGGUCUAUGUAGCCCAGGUGGCAUUGAACCUUCCUCAGCCUUCUGAAUCCUCUGAAUUACAGGCCUGAGGUAUGAUACCUGACCCUCACUUUACAAAAAUAGUUGUUACAGUCUACUAAAUUGAUUCAUGCCUCAUUAAUAAGUCAUGAGCCACAGUUUCACCUCGUGCUCUCCUGAGUCUUUCUCAGCUAUCUACCUUUCCUGAUCUUCCAAUGCUCUUCACCAGGUGUUAGCUCUGGAAAUGGCCCUUAAGACACAGACAGUAUGCACAAGGUUUUGACCAAUAUCUUCAAGGUCUGCACUGUAUUUUUCCUCUGUUGCUCUAAUGUUAAACACUGACUUCCACAAAAAAUGUUGUGUUUUUUGUGCUAUUUAUCAUCAUCGGAAAUGGGAUCAACCAGAACUCUGGCUUAAAACUAAAGGUUUAUAUGUAUGUUUUCAGGGCUGACCAUUUGGGAUUGGAUAGACAACUGAGCAGAUUGCACUCAUGUAUUUAGGAAUGUAUGUAUGAAUGUAUCAACACUUAGUGAUAAAAGAGGGCAUGAUUUCAAAGAUUAUAAAGAGGGAUAUAUGUGAGUUUUAAGGGAAGAAAUGGAAGGGAGAAAUGACAUAAUUAUAUUAUAAUCUCAAAAAAGAAAUAAUUAUGUAUGGUAUAGGAACUAACACUAUUUGAGGUUGGGAUGUUAUUUUCCACAGGCGGAUUUAUUUUUAUUUAUUAUGUAUAAAGAAUUUAUUAUGUAUACAGUGUUCUGCCUACACGCAACCCUGCAGGCCAGAAGAGGGCACCAGAUGUCACUACAGAGCUGUGAGCCACUCUGCAGUUGCUGGGAAUUGAACUCAGGACCUCUGUAAGACCACCCAGGGUUUUUAACCACUAAGCCAUCUCUCCAGCUCUAGAAGCUUUCUUAAAAUCAGUAAUGAGUGUGUGAAGGGGUGCAGAAAGCAGGGGGAGGGCUCUGUAACUAAGCCCUGUAACUGGUGAGAGAGCAUUUGAGGAAACAGGCCUUAAAAUGAACUGUAUCAACUCCUGUGGAUCCUUCCUUAUCCAUUAUAUAAAGGAAACUAGGACAUAUGUUUUGGAAAUAUGGAAAAUAUGCACAAAACAGCAGAUAUCUGAAGCUAAGUAAAAUUAGUUACAGCAGGGGUUUUCCACCAGCACAAAUGUGGCUUACCAUUCCUGCAGCUCAGGAGAAGGGAUCAAUCCUGCAGACUCCUUGGAGGAGCCUUCCACCCGCCCCUGCCACCAAUUGCUGUCAUCUUUGUUGAUGAUCUGGAUAAUGUCUCCAGUAACAAACUUCAGUCCUGCCUCUUUGCAAGGGAUAAGAUUAUCCUUUUUGGGAUCAUAGUCAAACUGUGCUCUCAUGAACAUCUGUAAAAGAAAGAAAAGAGGACCUCAGGGAAAACAUUGGUGCUAGAGCAUGUCCUGCUGUAAGGAAAUGGGAAAUGAGCAAGAGUGAGGAAAGAAUGAUAAGGGAGCACCCAAACAUGUGCAGCUGGAAUGUUCAAGUGUUUCUAACUACUUACUGUUGUGUUUGCAGGAGAAUCAAAACUGAUCCUUUUAAUAAGAAGGUAUUUCCGUGAAAUGCCUUUCUGGUUCAACAUGUUUCCAGCUAUUGAAUCUGAGUUGUCCACCUCAGAGCAUAGAGCUGCUACCAUCCAUCUGAAAUGGAUCUGCUUCCUUGACAAGAUACUCUCACGAAUAUGGAAAAGUUGAUAAACCUUUCUCUAGAGGACAGUCUAUAAAUGUGUCCAUCAUCUUCAAAUGUUGACAUUCUUUGCCCCACCUUGAUUCCUAUGCAUUUAUCUUAUAUAAAAGAGCUGCUAGUAAUGAUUAUGUGGAUAAGCAUGUGUAUCAAAGCAUUAUUUAUAAGAAUGAAGUAUUGGAAACAAUUUAAUUUCCUAAGAUGUUCUUUUUUUUUUUUUAUUCCGAGACAGGGUUUCUCUGUGUAGCUUUGGAGCCUGUCCUGACACUGGCUCUGUAGACCAGGCUGGCUUUGAACUCAGAGAUUGCCAGUCAGCUGAGUGAUGGGAUUAAAGGUGUGUGCCACCACUGCCUGGCAAGACAUUCUUAUUUAUCCAUGAUAAAUAGCUAAACAUCUGCUGAGUAUAUUACCAGUAUAUUAUAUAUUUUGUAACACAAAAAAACCAACUAAUGUCCUUGGCAAUCCUGCUGACAUAUGAAAUAAGAACAUUAUUAAACAAAAUAAUACCUAGAAUGGUCAAAAUUUUUAAAAAUGACCAGAAAAAAUUAUACUAGAAUUUAAUAUUGAUUUUCUUGGUUAGUUUUUAUCAACUUGACACAACCUAGAGUUAUCUGGGAAGAGGGAACCUCAAUUGAAGAAUAGCUUCAGAGUGGGGCCUGUGGCCAUGUCUGUUAUAAAUUGUUUUGAAUAAUGAUGGAUAUGGGAGGCCCCAGCCCACUAUGGGCAGCAUCAUCACUAGGAAAGAGGGUUGCAUAAGAAAGCUAGCAGAGAACAAACAAGACAGGAAAUGGCAUUCCUCCAUGUUCCAGCCUCAGAUUCCUGCUUUGAGUUUCUACUCUAGCUUCCCUCAAGGAUACAUUGUAAUCUGGAAUUAUAAGCUGAAAUAAAUCCUUUCCUCCCAA